AAAAUCAAAUCCCUAUUAGGAUAAAUGAUUGAGUGUUCCUGUAAAGAAUUGUUCCCCUGGUUCAAGCAACCAGAUUUCAUUCCCAGAUGAUCAAAAAUGGACUUGAUGAAAUGGAAAAGCACAGAUAGAAACAGUUCCACUGCUCAAAAUUACUCCUGAAGGGAUGAGGACACCAGGAUAUGCCACUGGACCACUGAAGGAAUGGUGAUGGUAUGAAGAAAGUAUUUUUAAUGAGCAGAGCCAUUGUUUGCUCUGCUCUGUCCUCACCCCUCAAGAGAAUUUCCCUUAUUAUUAUGAAAACUUUUUAUCUUAAAAGAUAUUACAUGUUAAUGGAACUGUCGUUUAACAAAUGUUUUAUAAGUGUACCAAUCAAGCACAUUGUCGAAAUAAAAGAUAUGAAAUAAGUGAAAA
rnacentral:lncRNA from 1 species